rnacentral:rRNA from 1 species
AGUGAACGCUGGCGGUAGGCCUAACACAUGCAAGUCGAACGGCAGCACAGUAAGAGCUUGCUCUUACGGGUGGCGAGUGGCGGAUGGGUGAGGAAUACAUCGGAAUCUACUUUUUCGUGGGGGAUAACGUGGGGAAACUUACGCUAAUACAGCAUACGACCUACGGGUGAAAGCAGGGGAUAUUCGGACUUUGCGCGAUUGAAUGAGCCGAUGUCGGAUUAGCUAGUUGGCGGGGUAAAGGCCCACCAAGGCGACGAUCCGUAGCUGGUCUGAGAGGAUGAUCAGCCACACUGGAACUGAGACACGGUCCAGACUCCUACGGGAGGCAGCAGUAGGGAAUAUUGGACAAUGGGCGCAAGCCUGAUCCAGCCAUACCGCGUGGGUGAAGAAGGCCUUCGGGUUGUAAAGCCCUUUUGUUGGGAAAGAAAAGCAGCAGAUUAAUACCCCGCUGUUCUGACGGUACCCAAAGAAUAAGCACCGGCUAACUUCGUG